rnacentral:misc_RNA from 1 species
GGCGACUGUUAAAGCAUUUGAUAUGUGGACAGGGAAGACAUCCCUGACAUUCAGCGGCCACUAUGAAGGUGUGAACUGUUGCUGGUAUAAUUUCCCAGAUCAGGUACGGCCAUUUCCCCCUUCUCUUCUCUGCAUUCAUCAAUCAUAAGCUCCUGCCCUUCGGUUGGUUCAACUGAAUUUGAAAAAUCCAUUGGUGGAACAAAUGAUGAGUUGCUUCAAAGUUUUGC